rnacentral:lncRNA from 1 species
AUAAAGGUCCAUCCUGAUUUGAGAUAUAAACUCAUUAUUCCAUUCUUUUCCUUCCUUCCUUCCUUCCUUCCUUCCUUCCUUCCUUCCUUCCUUCCUUCCUUCCUUCCUUCCUUCCUUCCUUCCUUCCUUCCCUCCUUCUCUCUCUCCCUCACUCUUUCUUUCUUUCUUUCUUUCUUUCUUUCUUUCUUUCUUUCUUUCUUUCUUUCUUUCUUUCUUUCUUUCUUUCUUUCUUUCUUUCUUUCUUUCUUUCUUUCUUUCUUUCUUUCUUUCUUUCUUUCUCUUUCUUCCUUCCUUCCUUCCUUCCUUCCUUCCUUCCUUCCUUUCUUCCUUCCUUCCUUUCUUUCUUUCUUUCUUUCUUUCUUUCUUUCUUUCUUUCUUUCUUUCUUUCUUUCUUUCUUUCUUUCUUUCUUUCUUUCUUUCUUUCUUUCUUUCUUUCUUUCUUUCUUUCUUUCUUUCUUUCUUUCUUUCUUUCUUUCCUUCCUUCCUUCCUCCCUCCCUCCCUCCUUCCUUCCUUCCUUACUUCCUUCCUACCUCUCUCCCUUUCUUUCCUUCUUCUUCUUUCCUUCCCUUCCCCUUACUUUCUGUCUUAAUAACAAUUCUAAGACAGAAAGGCCAAAGCUAAGUAAAUGGGGUUAAGUGACUUCCCAGUGUCAAACAACUAGGAAGUAUCUGGGGCUCAACUUGAACCCAAAUAAGUCUUUCUGAAGGGUGAAUCACCAGUGACAACCUGAACAAUAAUAUGGAUGACAUUUUUAUUCCUUUCAGUAAGGCCAAAUCAUCAAGAUAUAAACCAUGUAGUGUAUAAGCCAUAAUGGAUCCUGAAAACUAAAAUGGACCACAUUUUUAUAAUACUAACCAGCACACUCAUACAGGCACAGGAUGAGCCCAUAACUGAGGAGACAUUAAUAGGCAACCCUUAGCCAUUAGGUCAGGCAUCCUAGUUAGUGCCUGUCUGAGGGAGGUAGGGAAGAGUCUUAAUGGCUACUGAAUAGAGUUUAAAUUCCUUUGUUGUUGUUGUUGUUGUUGUGCCAUAUACUUGUGUUUGACUCUUCGUGAACCCAUGGACCAUAGCACAUUAAGUUCUCCUAUCUUUCACUAUCAAAGUCUGUCUAGCUUCAUGUUUGUUUCCAUAACAUUAUCUAUGCAUCUCAUCUUCUUCUGUCCCCUUCUCCUUUUGCCUUCUGGCCUUUUCCAAUGGGUCCUCUCUUCUCAUUAUGUGACCAAAGUCUUUGACCUUCACCUUCAGUAUUUGAUCGUUCAGUGAAGAGUCUGGAUUCAUUUCAUACUUAAGGACUGGCUGAUUUCAUCUCCUUGCUGUCCAAGUGACUCUUACAAAUCUUCUCCAGCACCACAGUUCUAAAGUGUAGAUUCUUUUAUGCUCAACUUACAGUAUAACUCUUGUAACCAUGUAUUGCACUUGGAAAAACCCUUUUGCUGGCCAUCAAGUUCUAUACCCAGUUGGCACAACUUUGGAUGGUGGUGUCAUAUCUUGUACCCACAAAACUUUGUCACCUAAUCUCAUAACAUUCUGCUUCACAUACUCUGGAGUUGG